GGUCAUAGUGAUCCGGUGGUUCUGAAUGGAAGGGCCAUCGCUCAACGGAUAAAAGGUACUCCGGGGAUAACAGGCUGAUACCGCCCAAGAGUUCAUAUCGACGGCGGUGUUUGGCACCUCGAUGUCGGCUCAUCACAUCCUGGGGCUGAAGUAGGUCCCAAGGGUAUGGCUGUUCGCCAUUUAAAGUGGUACGCGAGCUGGGUUUAGAACGUCGUGAGACAGUUCGGUCCCUAUCUGCCGUGGGCGCUGGAGAACUGAGGGGGGCUGCUCCUAGUACGAGAGGACCGGAGUGGACGCAUCACUGGUGUUCGGGUUGUCAUGCCAAUGGCACUGCCCGGUAGCUAAAUGCGGAAGAGAUAAGUGCUGAAAGCAUCUAAGCACGAAACUUGCCCCGAGAUGAGUUCUCCCUGACUCCUUGAGAGUCCUGAAGGAACGUUGAAGACGACGACGUUGAUAGGCCGGGUGUGUAAGCGCAGCGAUGCGUUGAGCUAACCGGUACUAAUGAACCGUGAGG
rnacentral:rRNA from 1 species